rnacentral:rRNA from 1 species
UGGGGAAUUUUGGACAAUGGGCGCAAGCCUGAUCCAGCCAUGCCGCGUGCGGGAAGAAGGCCUUCGGGUUGUAAACCGCUUUUGUCAGGGAAGAAAUCCUUUGAGCUAAUACCUCGGGGGGAUAACGGUACCUGAAGAAUAAGCACCGGCUAACUACGUGCCAGCAGCCGCGGUAAUACGUAGGGUGCGAGCGUUAAUCGGAAUUACUGGGCGUAAAGCGUGCGCAGGCGGUUAUGUAAGACAGUUGUGAAAUCCCCGGGCUCAACCUGGGAAUUGCAGUGGAUACAGGGAAGCUAGAGUGCGGUAGAGGGUAGUGGAAUUCCGCGUGUAGCAGUGAAAUGCGUAGAUAUGCGGAGGAAUACCGAUGGCGAAGGCAAUCCCCUGGGCCUGCACUGACGCUCAUGCACGAAAGCGUGGGGAGCAAACA